CUUAAAAUUUAUGGAGAAUUGAGUACAAAUUGUGGGAAAUCUGUUCUUUUUUCUGGCUAAACUUCAAAUUCUGGCGAUUUGCUCUCAUACAUAUCUACACUUCAUUGAUUUGCUCUCAUACAUAUCUACACUUCAUUCUCUAUCUCAGCAAGUGUUAGUAAACACGUGGCUUCUUGAAAGCCUCAUAUCUAAUCUGAGCACAAACAAAAUGGAUCCUAUAUUUCAUUAAAGGUUCUGCGUUCUCAUUUGAAAUAUUUUGAGGCUUUACUCCAAAACAAAAGCACUCCUCUUUGUUUCUGUUUUUACAUUCUUCAUGAAUUUCCUCUCUUCUCAUUGUUGUCCAUGUAUAGAUCCCCUUUAAACAUAUCCUUAAAAAUUCAUCUUAAAAUUAAUUUCUUGAAAAUAUGUAACUUAGCUACGAUAUAUAUGUGUCCUCCCUAUUCAAAUUACUGAUUUAUGAUUUUGCUCAAAUCUGUUUUACAGGGUUUUCAAACCGCUCUUAAUUCGUAAGAAAAUUGAGUGAAAAUCUUCAAAUUGAUUUUUUUACUAACAUGGUUCAAAUUAUACUGAUUACUCGAUUCAACUAGAGUUUUUUCAAUGUUCGAACAUUGUUACAAAUCCUAUAAGCUGUUUCUUUGAUUUUCUUUUUCUUUUUUCGUUUAUUUUUUCUUCGUGUUUUUUUUUUUUUUCUCUUCAUUACUUUCCAACUCUUUUUAUGGUUUUGUUUGUUUCUCUGUAUUUUCUCUUCUUUGUAAUGCCAAACAAAGAUUCUAGAUAUGUGAAUCAAUGCACGUUUAUGCUUAUGCGUAUAUGCAUUGUCCAGACCUUUAAGUUAUUAAUGGGCUUUGAACUUCUUCUUUUUUUUUGCCCCAAAUACUAAUAACCUAAGAUGAGUAAUAUAAUAUUCUCUAAGUAAAUGUAUUAAAUAAUUAGCAUAAGAAGAUACAGAAAAGGAAGGAAAUGAGAAUUUAAAGCUAUCACAUAUGUUCCAUCUUAAAAGUUGUGUCCUGAUGAAUGAUUUACGCUAUGUUGAUUCUUUUUAUGAAAUUAAUUUUUUAUUCAGAUUUGGGGUUUAUUGUUCAUGCAAAUAAUUUGAUCAUAACAGCUAUAGUUUGGUUGAGUCUUAACAUGAAAAAUAGAUUUCAGAGAUUAAGAGGAUGAGGUAAGUAUUGCCAAGUUAGCUUCCCCAUAGUGGGAACAGCCAGCUGGGCCUAUAUGGUGGUGCCCUCUUUUUAUAGGCCACCCUUUUGUGGAUGCAUGGCUGAGCAAUGCCUUGUAGUUAUAUCCUGUGCUUAGCAUUUUUUGAGAGAUGAAAGUAUGAGGUAAAACUCCUAAAAAUUCUAUCACAUUUCUUGAUUAUGGAUGUAACUUUUUAUUUUUGAAUUCCAAAUAGUUGUCUACUGAAUUUGUGUGAUGAAAUUUACCCUUAGGGAUUACACUAUUAUCCAUUAUCUAGGUUGCAUUCGCCCAUGUUUACAUGCAUGCUUUCAAGUGUUCCUUACAUUGUUGUAAAAUGCGAAAGUGUCGUUGACUUCAACCGGAACAUUAAUAUGAGAGAGAAUUGAUGGCCAUCGUGUUCGCCAUCCAAAAGUGGCGCCAUUACUUAUUGGGUAGACACUUCGUGGUACGAACAGACCAACGAAGCUUGAAGUUCUUGUUGGAAUAGCGUUUGGUGAGCGAGAUGCAUCAAAAGUGGUUAACUAAAAUCAUGGGCUACAACUUUGACAUCGGAUAUUAGCUGAGGGUGGAGAAUAAAGCUGCAAAUUCUCUUUCCAGAGUUCAGCCGGCUUUGAAUCUGUUGGCUCUGUCCACUUCUAAAGUGCUACAAUUAGAAGAUAUCAAGAAAGAGGUUGCUGCUGAUGGUAUUCUAGGAAAACCAGUGCUGAGCUGCAAUUUGAGAACAGUGUGAAAGAGGGAUAUGCCUUGAUCGACGGCGUAUUAUGUUAGAAGGGGAGGGUUGUUCUUCCUAGCCAUUCCAAUUUUGUCACUCUCAUGUUACAAGAAUGCCAUGACUCUAAGAUUGGGGGACACUCAAGAUUUCUUAAGACAUAUAAGAGGAUUGCGAAGAGGUCUAUUGGCAAGGGAUGAAGAGGAAGAUGAAGGACUAUGUGGCAGGAUGUGGGAUAUGUCAGCAGAAUAAAUAUACGGCUUUAUCGCCUGAGGGGGCUAUUGCUUCCUUUACAGGUUCCCAAAUCUAUCUGGGAGGAUAUCUCAUUGGAUUUUAUCAAUGGACUGCCACAAUCGAGGAGAGUUGACACCAUUUUGGCUGUUGUGGAUCAUCUAAGUAAGUAUGGACAUUUCAUAGGGUUAAAGCACCUUUCACUACCCCCCAAGUUGGUGAGGAAUUUAGUCAAGAGAUAAUUCGCUUGCAUGGUUUUCCUCGCUCUAUUGUGUCAGAUAGAGAUUGCUUCUUUAUGAGUACAUUCUGGACGAAAUUAUUUAAAGCAUAGGGGACUGCCCUUACACACAGCACAGCCUACCAUCCGCAAACGGAUGGACAAACAGAAGUCCUGAACAUAUACCUGGAGACAUACCUGAGGUGUUUCGCUUUAAAUAGGCCUCAAGUUGGGAGUCAGUUCUUGCAUUAGGCGAAGUACUGGUAUAACACUUCUUUCCAUACCGCAACGAGACAUUCUUCGUUUCAAAUAGUAUAUGGCCAUGAUUCACCCCACCUAUUGGCUCUUGAAAAGAGGUUGACACCUUGUUCAUCUGUGGAUCAACUUUUGCUGGAAUGAGAUGAAAUGCGGGAACUAUUUAUCUCAAAAUUCGGCCUUAUCGUCAGAAAUCUUUGGCUAGGCAUCCAAAUGAAAAGUUAUCUCCUCGUCACUAUUGCCCUUUUGUGGUUGAAUCGAAAGUGGGAAGGGUAACGUACAAGCUUAAACUCCCUGCCUCGGAAGCUAUUCAUCCUGUUUUCCAUAUAUCCCAGUUGCGUAAGGCCAUUGGUAAUGUUAAGCCCAUUUCUGCUCUCCCUCCACAGUUCUCUGCUACAGGGAAAUUCAUCUUGGAGCCAGAGACCGCUUUGGGAGUUUGCCCUAAUGCUAUUCACAUUGCUGUAGGUCCGGACAUUUUGAUCAAGUGGAAGAAUCUUCCAACGUUUGAGGCUACUUGAGAACUUUUUUAGACAAUUCAGGUACAGUUUCCUACCUUCCACCUUGAAGACAAGGUGGAUUUUGGGGCGACGGGUACUGAUAGACCCCCCAUAAGAUUCAAAGGUGCAAGAAAAAAGAAAAGAGCGGUUAUAACCAACGUGAAGAAUGCCAACUUAGCUUCAGUUAGUUGAUAGGAAUAAAAUAGUAAUUGUGCUCUGUAAGCGAAUGAAUGAAAUGUGGGUGGGAGGGGAUUGUAGGUAGGCUUUUACUGAUUUUUCAGUUAGAAGGGGGAGUGACUAAUCCUCUCUUAUAGCCUUGGAAUGUGUCUCUAAUAAACCCCCAUAAGAUUCACAUAUGCAAGGAAAAAGAAGGGAAAAGUUAUGACCAACGUGAAGGAUGCCAACUUAGAUUCAGUUAGUUGAUAGGGGUAAAAUAGUCAUUGUGCUCUGUAAGGGAACAAUAAAAUGUGGGCGAGAGGGAACUGUAGGUAGGCUUUUACUGAUUCUUCAGUUAGAAAGGGGAGAGUCCAAGCCUCUCUAAUAGCCUUGGAAUGUGUCUCUUAUUUUCCAAAAGUUCCAUCAAUUGAAUUUAUAAACUGUUUCGUUCUUCCGAUGUUCUUAGUUGAUUUUUUGCAGAAUUUCCAGUGAAGAAGCCACAUCGUGAGUCACAGGACCAAGGGACCUAUCAGGUUUUUAUCUAGCUUGCUGGAAUUUGGUUCCACAUUACAUUGAUCUUUCAUGUGUUUGAUUAAAAUAGGUUGAUGUAUUGUCAUUUCAAAAAAAGAAGCAAAUGGCUCCCACAAAUUAUUUUUUACCGAAUACAAGUGUAGGGCUGUAGCUCAAGAAAGGAACUUCACUUUCGAAAAUUCCACGUUAAUUAUAGUGGUGCAAAUGGUGCAUAUUACUCUUCGUCUAGAACAAGGACGAUGGGUAAUGAUGGAGUAAGUAAAAUUCAAGUAAAAGUGAUUCUCUUUUUGAAUUUUCUGCUGGUUCGCUUCUUAAUUCUACUUUAUAACAAUGGAAAAACAUAAGCUAAUUCAUCUAUAGGUCAAGCAUCUCAUAUACUAUCAAGGGAGAUCUAUGAGAAGGUGUUAUCUCUGGUCCUUUGAUGUUCAUCAUGUCUCAUUCUUUCAUUGAGUUAUUAAUUUAUAUAUAUUUCAUUUGAAAUACUAGAGGUAAAUACUAGAGGUAUAUAUUUCAUUGAGUUAUUAAUUUAUAUAUAUUUCAUUUCGUUACAAAAAAUCUAAACGCAAAUGGUAGGAUGGACACAAUGCUAACCCUACAUAUUCUUAUUGAAGGUAUGUAUUACUAUUCCAUGAUACAUUUUAUGUAACUUUCAGUUCACUGUCAAUUAAUUUUCUUCCUCGUUUAGAUGAACUUGGUGGUUUUAAUGACAUUCUCAGUGCUCGGGUUGGUCAUUGUUUGGUGAGAAAGAGAGAUAUCAUUGCCCAUUAUACUGAUUUCAAUGUCAGUGUUUGAUUUUUGUGCUUUUUUUUUUUUUGAACUUCUCUGGUAUCUUUCAAUUUUGAGGACUCUAGGGUCUUCUCAAGUUGUCUUAUGGUUGCUAAAAUUAGCAGCAAAUGCAGUGUAACUAUAGAAUGUAAAUAAAAAGAUUUCAUUUUGAAUUCUUUUUUUAUUGGACUUUGUGGUUUUCAAUCUUUAUGUGAUAAGGUAAGUUGUGAAUUCCCUUUCUUAUCGAUGUAAGUUAUUUAUAGAAAAUUGUAUGCUUUGUUUAUUAAUUAAUUGGUUCUUUCAUGCUGAUCCAAAAUGAUGACUUUUUGUCUUCCAAAGAUGCAUUCUUUAAUUCACGCUAGUUGAUAGUGUCAACUACUGUGGUUUCCUAGCCUUUUUUGAUGACCUAUCACUGUGUAUACUAGAUCCUGUGAAGUACAUCAAUUUAUUUUGAAUAGGAUUCAAAAUAUGAUGCAUCAAGGCGUAGCAUUCAUACUGCUUCUCAUUAGAACCUAUCGGCAAAAAAGUUUUGUUUCACUAGUAUUUAUUAAUUAUUUGAUACCAAUGCUCUCAAGUGCUACUUUAUCACAUGUCUCUUAAUAUUAUUUUUGUCACCUAUCAUUAUUUCUUUAGAUGUCUUUGUUUAUCAUUUUUACGAGUCUCACACUUCAUCAAAUAUGAAAUUGUUAGCCAGAUAUGAUAAUUAUAUUGGGUGGCACCUUCUGUUAUUCAGUAUCUAAAAGUAAUUUGUCCCUAUUAAACAAGUCUGGAAAAAAAGCUUCCAAUCAAAUCUCUUAAUAUUAUAUUGUAACCUAUAAUCAUUUCAGGUGCUUAAGUUUGAUGUAAUCAAUGCAUAACACAAAUAAUAUUUUUUGUAUCUACGCUAUAAUAUAAUCAAUUACUCAAUGACUUGUGCCUUGCACGUGCGUUUCACUAGUAUAUAUUAAAAUUUUCUAGUGUGAAAUUCUUCCAAAAUCUUGAGAUGAAUGAGAGACAAAUUUUGAAAUGUUAUUUUAGUACUUUUUACUUAAAAGUUAGUACUUUAGAAACUUUUAUAAAAGUUUUUAAAAGUUACUGGUAUUUUGAAUUAUAUUCAUGACUUAUUAAGACUUCUAAAAAAUUUUAAUUGAAUACAUCGAAACUUUUAAAACUUUUUAAAAGUUCAUAAAAAUCUCGAUUGAAUACACCAAUACUUUUAGAAGGUAUUAAAAAAUCUACAUUAAAUACCCCUAUGUUGUAAAUUAUAUGUUUAUUAUUGAAUGAUGAUUAUACCCAUGUAGCCUUAGUUAUUAUAAUUAUUAUAUCUGUUGUGGCCAUAAUAAUUUCGUAUAAUUAUGGAACUUUGAUUUUCAAUCAAAUGCACACAAGUCUAUAGACUUCUCCAUUUUCUUCUCUUUUACUUAUAUUUCAUAACAUGUUAUUAGCACAAAGUUCUAACUAAUUGAGUAAGCAAAAAUUUCCUAUAUCAGUUUACAAAUCUGUAAUCAAUUUGAGAUAGCAAAAGCAAUUUCUUAUAAGAAAAAAGAAGGCAACAUUACUUCAUCUAUAACCAAAAGAAAUUUCAAUUCUAAUCACCAUUUGCAUCAUAAUUAAAGUCAAAUCAUUAAAAAGUGUAGUGAUGCUUAUUUUCAUGUGAAUGGGAGAAUAUGCGUGUUUUUAAUAUCGACUAUCUCAUGGUAUUUUUUUAUAUUUUUUUUAAUAUUAUGUGAUUGCAUAACUGGAAGUCAAUUCUUAUUCCUUUAGGGGUGUGUGUGUGUGUGUGUGUACACACACACACACGGUACCAGAAGAGGUUGUUAUUGGGCUGGCCUAAAGUCAAGAACAGUUCCAGAUGGUCCAAUGGAUUAAGCCAUUUUCAGAGGAUGACACGAAGAAGGAAAGUUAAGAAAAACCUCCCCGUUCAUAAAUGAAAUAAAAAUUAAUGGAAUUUUGCUAUUUGUAUGAGCUUCCCAAGACAGAGGUUAUGUCACUACCGGACACUAAGAUGCGGAGGUUUAAUCAUUCUUCUCAAUCGGAGUGGAAAGGCCCGUUGACACCUCGAGCUAUAUCCCUGAAAUCGCCUCGUUUUCGCUUUAAUUUGAAGUCGCUCCGUGGAGUGGGAUUAAAAUGAUCAAACGUCAAGGGUUGCAAAAUCAGCUUUUUAUGCAAAAAAGAAGAGUAAGCAGAGUGGCUGUUGGUUUCGUUGAAGACAUGAAGGCGAGAACUCGUAAAUACUUUCUAUAUUAAUCCCAUGGCUAUCUCAUUUCUUGUAAUUCCCUCGCAGUUCCACAGGUUAGUGAUGGAAGAGGUGGUACGAAUGAUCGCGACAACCAAGAACAAAUGCUACGAACUCGAGUCUAAGUUGGUGGAGUUCAAUAGGGUCAAGUUCUCGGGCUAAGAAGAAGACUACCAAGGCAGCUGCUGCUCCCACCGCAGCUACCAUAGAAAAGAAAGCCAAGUGGGUGCCGUUGAGGUCUGUCUUCGUGAUAAGAAGAAUCUGGGCAAAACCUCUCUCCUAAGACCCGGUUAAGGUAACUCACUAAAGGGGCUAAGGAAAUGAUCCUAGACAAUGAAGAAGAUAACCCCCAAGGUCUUUCAUGGCAAAGGAUUUCUGAAGUAUACACACACACACAUAUAUACAUACAUAAAUACACACACAUAAAUGAGUGUGUGUGUGUGUGUAGUUGCACCAUUAUUCUUCUUUUAUUGAUUCCUUUUUUGUAAUAAUGCAUCAUGUUGUUGCUUUUUAAUAAAUACAAUAUUAAUAGUCUACUAAAAUAUUACUUGCUCUUAAAGAGUAUAAUAUUAUUAAAUUAAACAUAUAUUAUGUUUUUG
rnacentral:lncRNA from 1 species